GUGGCUCAAAGGAGUAGGGCGCUGGCCCCAUAUGCCAAAGGUUGCUGGUUCAAACCCAGCC
rfam:Otolemur garnettii contig092323, whole genome shotgun sequence.